UCCUCUUCUCCUCUUCUUAUAAUGCUUCUCCUCUUCUCGACUAGGUUACACUGUUUUCUUUUUCUCAUCGUCGCUCAUCACCUACCCUCUUCCCUCCAUGGCUGAUCAAGCUGAAAACGACUCUCAACCUCUGCCAGUCCAACCCAACCUUCCGAUGCUUAGGAUUAGUUUUCAUAAUUUUGCCGAUAAUUUUCAGAAGGCAUCGGACAAUCUUCAGAAUACGACGCAUAGUCUUCAGAUGGCGUUGGAUCAUCUUCAGAUCGCUUCCAACCAGUUAGAUGUGCUGCCGAUUUGUCAGCCAGUGGAUGAAGUAUUGGAAUCAAUCAACCACGUACAUGCGAAUUUGCUGAAUCAGCAAUUCGACUUACAUGGUCAUGUGAUGAAUGUAAUGGACGCUGACCGAACCAUUCUCAUGAAUUAUAUUGAUUUCCAGAUGAAUGCAAUGGACCACAAUUUGAUGGCGAAGAUCAACAACUCUUCAGCACGGGGGGUGACAAUGACUAUCUAGCCACGCAACAAAAAUGGGUAUGCUCCAGAUGUCCCUCCUAUGUCAAAGAAUGACUUCAACAGGAUUGGAGAAGCUGCAAUCGAUAUGCUACUCCAAUUCUACGACUUACCAAUAGGAGAAGAAGAAGUACAUGCAAAGCGUGUCCGACUUGGAGAAUUUAUAGGGUUUCUUAACGUGACUUGAAGAUUAUAGGGUUUUAUAGGUAUUUUUUAGGUAGACUGAAGAUUUAUAGGGGAUACGAGUUUAACUUGUGUUGUCUUUACCAAUUUCUUAUAAUGAUUUCUGAUUAUUAGGAUUCUCUUUUAACUUGUGUUGUGUUUAUUAAUUUCUUGUGUUGUGAGACACCGGUUAUCCCUCUUAUUAGGAUUCUGUUUUAUAUAUUGUUUCUCUAUUUGCUAAAUUCUUAUAUUUAUUAGGAUUCUUGUGUUUUAUAUAUAUUGUUUCUCUUUUAUUUAUUUCUUUUGCCCAUCAAUCCUAAUAAAUAUAAGCAUUUAGUAAAUAGAGAAACAAUAUAUAUAAAACAGAAUCCUAAUAAGAGGGAUAACCGGUGUCUCACGACACAAGAAAUUAAUAAACACAACACAAGUUACAAGAAAAUCCUAAUAAUCAGAAAUCAUUACAAGAAAUUGGUAAAGACAACACAAGUUAAACUCGAAUCUCCCUAUAAAUCUUCAGUCUACCUAAAAAAAACCUAUAAAACCCUAUAAUCUUCAAGUCACCUUAAGAAACCCUAUAAAUUCUCCAAGUCGGACACACUUCGCAUGUACUUCUUCUUCUCCCAAGUAUGACAUCUAACAGAGCUGCCUGGAGGGCUAGGAUUCGAGUUGCAGACUAGUUUCUGCAUAAAUGGAACUGUCUUAUUUCCUUUUUGUUUUUUUUAGAAAUUUCUCUAUUCUGAAAUUAUAUUCCUAGGAUUAACCUUUUCUUUUUUUUUUAGUAACUAUUUCUCUAUUUAUGUGUAAGGCCAUUGGCCAUCUUUUUUAGUCAAUGAAAAUUUAUUGAAUGAAGAAAAAAAAUCCCUCUCUCGCUCUCUCUCUUCCUCGACUUUCUUUCUCUUUUUCUCGCCUUCUCUCUCUGUCUCUCUCUCUCUCUCACCCCCUUUGUUUUGGUUGAUAUUGCUGGUUGCCCCUACUGUUCGUAAGCUACUGACAACUCCUACACACACACAAGAUCCACCUGCAGCAAUCAAGAACACUUCUCUGUAGGCUGGACUUUCUUUAUUAAUUACUGAGGACUGCAUCUCUUUAUUUUGGAGGACCUUGGGUUCUUCUUUUCUCCUCAGAUUUUGGACAGCGUUAAGGUAAGUAAAAUCCCCCCCCCCGCCCCACUUCCAGUGGUUGUUUAUUACCCCUGUUAUCUCCCCCACUAAAACCUGAAAUUAGUCUCUGUUUUCAAGUCAUCUAUUUGCUGUUAUCCUAAAAGAAUUCCCUGCUAUUUUACCUUAUUAAUUGGCUGCUUUUGGAGAACUGCAUGGUUUACUUAUUAUGUUUAGUGUCUUGAUUGAUCCAUGCUAAACCUAACACAUAUUUGCUGCCAUGCUCCCUUCCUCAUAUCCCCAUUUGACGCUUGAGCAGUUUUAAGUGUUUUUUCAUGCUUAGACUAUUAUUGGCGACUGCUGCCCUGUUAAUUAGUUUGUUAUUCUUGCAUGUUAAAUCUGUAUUUUGCUGAGUAACUUUGAACCCAACCCAAUUCAAGACCUAUUGAGUAUCCCUUGUCUAGUGGAUCGACCCCUUGUAGGAAACCUAGUUGUCUAGGCACCCUCCCUAAAUCACAUAUACUUAUCCAAUGGAAUCCUAUUGAUUGUACUGUCUUGGUGUGGGUAAUGCUGAUGCCAUAAUUGAUGCUGAAGUUGAUGGAAAAUCAAUGCAAUGUCCUCCUUUUUCUGUUUCCUUUCUUUUAGCAACUUUUGUCUCACUCUUCAUUGUCCUAUGACAACUAAGAGUGAUCUCAUCAUUUUUCUCUCUGGUCAUAAUUUUCAAGGCGAUAAGGACGGGUUGGGUCCAUCCAAAUAUCAAUCUUGAAAACCUUGAUGAAUGCUUUGGAUAUGAAUGUGCUGGUGGGCUCCAAGAAGGACUGGCUGGACAUAAAGGUGGCAUACUAUCUAGUUCAUUUGGCUUCGGAGGUCACAAUUCCAGCAUUCUAUUUGCUCCCUACAAGUAACUUUGGGAGGUGUAGGUAUGGAGAUUGUUGGCUUAAUGUAUUAUUAUUUGAAUUUGAAUUUUGAAAUUUUAAGGAAGAAGGAAUUUUAGGUGUUGUACUUGGAGGCUUGGAGAGUUUAUGAGCUUAUCUCCCCUAUGAUUGAUAGUUCUUUGCAUGACAAUGGUAGAGGCUACUCACUGGUAACAUUUGUUUUGAAUUCCUAAGAACUAAAAAUGAAAAAGGGUUUGUACAAAAAAUCGAUACUCCAUUCUUUGGAUUGUCUGGUACCCUGAGAAUUGCCUCAGCAGAUGGUCAAAAUUGAUUGGAUUCUGUAACCAGCCCGGAAAAUGCAAUUUUUGGGAUGAUUAUUGAUCCUUUAAUCAAGAGUACUGCUGGGAGAUGUAAAUGAGAUGGUUUACUGAUUGGAUGGGUUGUAUGUGCUAUAUCUGAGAUGCUACACUUGUUUCUUGUGAGGUUAUUGAUUAUUCCAUAAAGCAUCUAUGAAGCCAAUUCUAUGCUCUAAAUGGUACAAUCUGCACCUUUCUAAUCUAUGCAGCACUUGUGAAUUAAGUGUGUUCUAUUAAUUUAUUGCUUAAACCUUUGUCUUUAAAGAUGCCUGGGGAUCAGUUGUCUACCGUUCGUUGGUCUUAUGGAUGACUGAUAAGUUUAUGGUGUCCAGAUCUUCUGCAAUUCUCCAUUUUGCAAUUCUUAUGCAAUGCUACCUGUAGAGUGCGACACCAGGUGCUGCUGACGUGAACAAUCCCGAUGAAGAGAGAGGAGUGUAUGUUACCCUGUACCGGUUUAUGUGCGAUUAAACCAGUCUGAACCAAAAGACAUAUGACCCAACCCAAUCAGGAACUCUUGCAACUGAUCUCUUUCUUACACGCUCCUGCAAUUGAUUUCUCUCUUACACCCCCUUGUUACCAUUCGCGAGCCCUAAGGCUCUCGCUCUCUCUCGGUUAAGCCUAGAAUUUGUGAGCGAUUUCGAAACUUGGCAAAGCCCUCUGGUUCUUUCACCUUCCUGCGCAACUGAUCUCUCUCAGC